AUGGAUAGAUUAAGGAUCAUGCUGGCAUGGAAAGGGUGUGAAAGGGUGAUGUGUACAGAAAGGAGUCCCACUUCCACUUUUGUACAUCAGUGGGUCUUCAGCAAGGGGAAAUCACUGUAGUAAUUGGUAUUUCAAAGUAGAUUUGGCUAAGAACAUGAAGCAGGUUAAAUCCCAGGCUGAGGCACAGGGGGACUGGAUACCCUGAGGGAGUGGUAAAGGUCUGAUUGCAGAGCCUUACAACAUGUAAGGUGUCACUGUGACUCUAGCCCAGGUUGGUGGUGACUGACAGGUGACACCAUCUGUUUAGUGGUGACUUGGUGGUUUCUGUCCAUCCAUUGGUGGUAAGCCUCUACCACAAGUGAUACUCCUGUUGGCAGGCUCAGUGUAGAGGCCAAGAACUGGGUGGGCCAUGGAACCUGGCCUUCCUUCUUACCUCUGGAUGUCAGAGAGAGGUAUAUGAGUAGGUCAAUGUGUAGGAAGCUUGCCCUUCUGCCCUGCCCAGUAGAUCAACAGAGUCCUUCAGUCUCUGGGGCUGCCAAUCUGGUACCUUUCACCAGCACUGAAUUCACUUUAAUAAAAGAAAAGGAAAGCUGAACCUUAAAAACAAUUAAGAACCCCAACUUCUCUCCUUGUGCUGAUGCUGUAAAAAUGAUCACAUCCUUGCCUGGCCCUGAAAAUGGUGCUUAGCUGAGGCUCCAGCUUUGGGCUGGUGGGAAAAGGGAGAUCUGUGGGUUAGAAAGCAGAAUGGGAUGGGUAAUGCAUGAAGCCAGCCUUCCCUUCCCAGCCAAAGCGCCUCAGCGUCCUCACUCAUCUCCACAUGUUAUAGAGAAAGCUACACAAAAGCAGAUUGGCUGCACAGCUAUGCAUCCUAUAGGCAAGCCUGAUGUUGACACAGGUGUUCUGAGACAGGAGACACCUUCUGCAAACUAGAGAUGGGUCUGAACCAAAUCCAGAGGUCUGGAAAUCUUCAGACUAUGGGGAGGUUUGGAUCUGAGUGAUGGUUCAUGGUCAACACCUAUAAUAAGCCAAAUCAAACCCCUGUAUCUGAAUGUUCCUGGUCCUUGAGGAAGUUCAGAUCCAGAUUGUAAUCUGAAAUUUCCAGCUCACUCAUCUCUGCUGUAAAAACACGGUGCCAAACUCUCAGUUACAACCCUAAUGACUUCAGAAACUUGGCCUGUGGAAUGAAAGCCAGGUUGACCCUUGAGUGCUAUAUCCCACCAUCACAUCCAUCCUCGGAGGUGUGUGUGUGUGUGUGUGUGUGUGUGUGUGUGGAAGAAGGCAUAAUAACCUUCCUGUUCCAUUGGAGUAAAGGUUCAGGAGGGCUACAGGAUGUGCAAGAGCUGGAGAAAUCCCUCAACUGUCUCAAAUUUUCCUCCAAGGCACUCCAAUGUUUAGGGCACAGACAUUGCACACACCUAUCCACUGACUCCUCCUCUUCGUUUAGAAUUACUUUGAUAUAUUUUUGUAUAUAUAAGUAUAAUGUUACGAUGGCUAGGACUAUUAUAAUAAUAUUCAUGAUAUUGCUGUGAAUGGUGCCAUAUGCAAGGUUUGGCUUCCUGGUACAUUUACAAACUCCAAAGGAAUAUCUCAAUUUUGUUAUGCUAAUCCUAGAUCUUGGUUUAUAGGUAAUCUGGGGUAUUUUAUAGGCUCUCCUAACAGGGCUCUGUUCUGAGUGGGCUGGUGAAUGGGAAGGGUGGGUAUAGAAGACAGGAGAAGUCAGGAGUUCUAUCCCUAGAUGAAAGUUUGCUCAUUGGUGAGGGUCCUCCCUUCCAGACAAGUCCAGAACCAUGUUGUGGGAGUUUGCUUGUCCCCUUCGCAGCUGGGAAAUGCAUUUAUACAAGCUGUGGCAUCCAUAUGACACACACACACAGUAACUCACUUACAGUGAAAUUCAACUUACAGCGAAGAAGGAGGAGAGUCAUGAAUUGUUUUAAUGCUUCAGAAUGUGCAAUUCCAAGGAUAACAACACUAUUCAGAGUGAUCUCUGAAAAACACCAGGUCUUCCCUGUGAGAGUUCCACUAGAGGUGUGUGGAUCUGUGUGUGUAUAGAUGAUUAGUCCACAUCUCUGUUCCAUAAAUUAUAUAAUGUAUUGCAAACAUAUAUUUAUUUAUAUGAUAAUAAUUGGUCAGAUUUAUAAUUCUAAUUUCUGCUGUCAGAUAAAGAGUUAGGUACAGAAACAUGUCUAUUGGAGGGACUUCCAUAAUGAGACACACCUUACUUCUUCGCUUGCACCAUUCACUUGUCACUAGAGUUAGUCAAACAUUUACUGUCAUAAGAAUUUUUUUUAAUGGAAAAUGACUUCUUCCACAAAAUGAGAAUUUUUAAGUAAAACGCCCCUUUUCAUGGAAAAAUGUUCUGUUUUGUUAUUUUAAUAAGAACCCAAAAUAUUUAGAAAAGAUUUAUUUGAUGAAAACUCAGUGUAAUUUUUCAUUGGGGGAAAAAAGAAACAUCCCUCCCUCACCUCCCUGAUCAGCUUGGCUUUUCAUGGUUUCCUUUAAAGGGGUGGGCAUGUCCAUUCAGUCAAUGCCUUUCUUCCUUCAAGGUCUAUCUUUUCCUCUCACUUGCUCAUGGAAUGACUUGAUAAUGGGUGUGACUUUUUGAAUGUUUCCAUGGAGAAGAAUCAUGAUGUCAUGAAAACACAAUGGUGAACUAAUCAGAGUGCUGGAGAAGUUGCCUGGUGAGAGGAAGGGCCUGAUCUUCCAGUCCCUGUGCAGGCAACAUGCCUAUGGAGUAUGAGUCUAUGGGCAUUAUGCUUCUGUUAUUCCACCACAGAUACCUCCAAUAAUUGUCAGAAGAUUAGUGGGGAGGGGCAGCAGGAGAAUCUACUUAUUACACACGGACAGAAAACACCAGGCCAGGAUUUACCAAAAUCUGUCUGAAGGUGAACAACGUGAGCUAAUUGGUUAAUUAAUAACAAGUAGCCCAUCUUCAAACUGGGUCUCCCUGUGAGUGUCCCAAGAUCUCGAGCUUGGUAGAGCUUUCUUCUUUUCUGUCAAAACAUGCAGUUUACCAUCAGAUAUGGAUCUAGUGCCUGCUGGGACCACCGCAAAGUGGGAGGGAUGAGAUCGGCUCCAAAUGUGUGCAGCAGGUUGUUCUAGUGUUUAAUGUUUGAUUUACCUCAAUGUCCAAAUGUAAGUUACAGUUGACCUGUGACAGAGAGUAAGAGCUUUGACUGGGAUUCCCCAGAUCUCUCUGUGCACCUGGGAUUUUACUGUGGCUUAUUCCCAGAGUUUGAAUGUUAGACAGCUCCAUAUAUGAAAAGCUAUGCUCAGUUCAUGUGGUGUUCUGCAUCUGAUCUCAUUCAGAAAAUAAAAGCUGGAUGGGGUAAGUUUUCCAGCUGAAAUUAGAAUAGGCAAAGUGCAUUACAGCGUACUUAGAUGGGGGAAAAGGAAUUUAUGUCAAAGGACCCUGUAGGGCUCCAAGCUGCUGAAAGGGGGAGAUGCAGGGGUCUGAGCUGCCUCCCUGUCUGGUCUCUGUUGGAGCAGAGAAAGGAAAGGAAUCUGCUGUGGCUUCUUGCCUCCCCAUCUGAUUCCACUGCUAGAAAGGGAGACAGAGCUGGCCUGUGAGUUGCAAAACUUGCAUGAGACAAAAGGGCCCCAAAAGAGCCAGGCCUUUAAUAGCCUCUUGCUUUGCUUAUGCUACUCUUUAUAUGAGUUCCAAACACCACUUGGAAGUUCGCACCUUGCAGCUCUCCUCUCUUUUUCACAGGAAGGCGAGGUGCUGCCCACCUCCCACACUCUUGCACUGGCCAGAAGGGGGCACUGCAGAGUGAUGUGAAGUGCCCCCUCCUGCGACAGCACUAUGAGGGCAGGCUAAGAGACAAAGAACCACAUCCCUGUCCCCACCACACCCAGCACCUGAAACACCUUUAGUCUCAUUCCAGAAGCAUGACCCCUUUGAACAGAAUAUCUCCAAGGGGUUUCUAGCUGAUGGCUAGUCUCAGAUUCACUCACUCCCCACCCUUAGCCCUAAGCCCACUGGCCUGACCUCUUUCUAUCCCCACUUGUGGCCAAAAGCACAAAAGAGCAAUUUCAGAACAACUGCAUUAGCGCAAUAAACCCCACUGAGUUUGCAUGGUGAGACUGGUCUGAGGAUAAGCAGAUGGCACAUUUAUAAUUUUCCCCACUCCCCAGCACACACUUUGUUACUGAUCUCUCUAGCUGCCGCUUGCAACUGUUGUGUUUCCAGUCUGACAGAGCCUGCAGAAGCCAGGGGAGCGCCACACCUGGGAAAAGGGAGAGUGGACAUGCUUAACAUCCCAUUCCAGGUGGUCAAGCAAAUCUAGUUCAGGAUCUUCUUCUGCAUGAAGUAUCCACAGUCCAUUUCUGCUGGGUGCUCACAUGCAGUUGUAAUACAGUACCCAGCCUCCAUUCUAGGUGGGCAAAGCAAUACUACUUAGCAUCCACCGCCUUAUUCCAAUCCGCUUAGGGGUUCGGUGUGAGACACUAGACACUAAUGCAGAGCUCAUUAGCAAAUGCUUUCUGUCACUGAUAACCUGUAAUCAAACCCAGCCUGCAUUUCUGGGCCCACCUGAAAUGGAUUCUUUGUUCCACCCCUUACAAGCUACUUCAGAAGAUGCCCAAAGGGCACAUGUCUAGAAAGACGAUGAUAGGAAACGGUGCCAAAGAUCUUUCAUUUUUGUGUGGAGUGCGGUCAGGAAAGACUUCGGAUAGAUGGGAGCCAAGUCGAACUAAGUCUCUUUCUAUCAGUCCCUUGCAGGAAACCUUUCACAAUGCAGACCAUUGAAUGUAUCAGUGCUGACCAAAAGGGAAUCAAGUUUUGCACAUGAUGCAACUGGGUUUGGAGAAAAAGGGCCAGGCCCCACUGCUACUGAAGUCAGCAGUGAGACAUGCACCAACUUCAAGGGGAGCAGGAUGGAAUCUGUCAACAGCAAACUCAGGGAUUUGUGGUGAAUGCAGCUUAUGUUGCCCGCCUAGCAUCAGGGCAUAGUUCCUAUGCACACUGAAGACCUAGGCUGUGCUAACCCCAACCUCAAGGGAUGAGCAUUGUUAUUUGUGGAUGCGGCCCAUUCAGUUCCCCCACACUACUGCGCCAGUCCCCCCUCUUGUCUUUCCCCAACUCCCAGCCUUUGUUCAAAGGCUCUCUCACACAUUCUGCUGCCUCCUCAUACCCCAGAUGUCUGUAGCAUAAACUCCUUCGAAGACUCAUUCCCUCUUGACUUCAAAGGAAAGCCCAGUACCAAGGACUGAAGCAUCUAACUCUCUGUUUAUCUGGUACAAAAGAUACUGUACAGUGUAUAAAGAGAGCCCCUCCCCCAAUUGUCAUAUUGAGAUUGUUUUGCCUUUCUAGACAGUAUAAUACCUGGCCAUAACCCUGUUACUGUUUUUUGACAAUACUCUUGUACCAGUUAUGAAAAAAUAAAGUAUUUAUUUGAAAAGUUUAUUUUAAAGAUAAAAAAACUACCUAUUUAUUUUAAAGCACCCUCUUCCGUUUGGUUUUCUUCUCUUGCAAGCUAAUAACUGUUACUGAACCACUGCUGAAAUAAAAGAAGUAAUUUUAUGGGUGGCUUUCCAGGCCACUGAAAGCAACUAUUCAAUAAAAUAUAUAUAUU